AGCUCUCGCUAUUAGAUGAGCCUAAGUCGGAUUAGCUGGUUGGUGGGGUAAAGGCCUACCAAGGCGACGAUCUGUAGCUGGUCUGAGAGGAUGAUCAGCCACACUGGGACUGAGACACGGCCCAGACUCCUACGGGAGGCAGCAGUGGGGAAUAUUGGACAAUGGGCGAAAGCCUGAUCCAGCCAUGCCGCGUGUGUGAAGAAGGCCUUUUGGUUGUAAAGCACUUUAAGUGGGGAGGAAAAGCUUAUGGUUAAUACCCAUAAGCCCUGACGUUACCCACAGAAUAAGCACCGGCUAACUCUGUGCCAGCAGCCGCGGUAAUACAGAGGGUGCAAGCGUUAAUCGGAAUUACUGGGCGUAAAGCGCGCGUAGGUGGUUAUUUAAGUCAGAUGUGAAAGCCCCGGGCUUAACCUGGGAACUGCAUCUGAUACUGGAUAACUAGAGUAGGUGAGAGGGGAGUAGAAUUCCAGGUGUAGCGGUGAAAUGCGUAGAGAUCUGGAGGAAUACCGAUGGCGAAGGCAGCUCCCUGGCAUCAUACUGACACUGAGGUGCGAAAGCGUGGGUAGCAAACAGGAUUAGAUACCCUGGUAGUCCACGCCGUAAACGAUGUCUACCAGUCGUUGGGUCUUUUAAAGACUUAG
rnacentral:rRNA from 1 species